AUGCCACCAGAUAGAGAUAUUGAGUUUCUUAUUGAUUUAAUACCAGGCACUGGACCUAUUGCAAAGAGACCGUAUAGAAUGCCUCCUCAAGAGUUGGAGGAAUUGAAGAAGCAGAUAAGAGAAUUGCAGGUACAAGGAUUUAUUCGCCCAAGUUCAUCACCUUGGGGAGCUCCAGUUUUGUUUGUGGAGAAGAAGGAUGGGACCUUGAGGAUGUGUGUUGAUUAUCGUUCUCUGAAUGAGGUAACCAUUAAGAAUAAGUAUCCUUUGCCUAUGAUAAAUGAUCUAUUUGACCAGUUGGAGGGAGCUACUGUGUUUUCUAAGAUUGAUCUCCGUUCUGGUUAUCAUCAAUUGAAGAUUCGUGAGCAAGAUAUUCCAAAGACUGCUUUUACUACGAGGUAUGGGUUGUAUGAAUAUACUGUUAUGUCAUUUGGAUUGACUAACGCUCCUGCAUACUUCAUGAAUAUGAUGAACAAGGUGUUUAUGGAGUUCUUGGAUAAAUUUGUGGUUGUUUUCAUUGAUGAUAUAUUGGUGUUCUCCAAGAAUAAGAAAGAGCAUGAGGUGCAUCUGCGUUUGGUAUUGGAGAAAUUAAGGGAACAUCAGUUGUAUGCCAAGUUCAGCAAAUGCAAGUUUUGGCUGGAUGAGGUAGCAUUCCUUGGACAUGUUGUGUCAGGUAAUGGAGUUGCAGUUGAUCCAUCUAAGGUUGCUGCAGUUACAGAGUGGGAGACACCCACGACAGUUGGAGAGAUUCGCAGCUUUUUCGGCCUUGCAGGUUAUUACAGGAGGUUUAUUGAGAACUUUUCUAAGAUUGCAAAGCCUAUGACUGAAUUGUUGAAGAAGGAGAAGAAGUUUGUUUGGACUGGUGAAUGUGAAGCCAGCUUUCAGGAAUUGAAGCAGUGGUUGGUUACAGCACCAGUCUUAACUCUGCCGGAUAUACAUAAGGACUUCCAGGUAUAUUGUGAUGCUUCUCGUCAAGGACUUGGGAGUGUUUUGAUGCAGGAAGGUAAAGUUGUUUCUUGUGCUUCACGUCAGCUU
rnacentral:rRNA from 1 species